rnacentral:RNase_P_RNA from 1 species
CAAGUCUGCUAAAUGGUCGCGGCUGCACAGACGAAAGGGUGCAGGUGAGGAAAGUCCGGGCUUCACAGGGCAGGAUGCCGGAUAACGUCCGGUGGAGGCGACUCUAAGGAAAGUGCAACAGAAAUAAACCGCCGGCAUUUUUGCCGGUAAGGGUGGAAAGGCGGUGUAAGAGACCACCGUCAGCCUGGCGACAGGCUGAGCCAUGUAAACCCCAUCCGAAGCAAGACCGCACAUAAAGCAAUACGGCGGCCCGUCGUGCUUUAGGGUAGGUCGCUGGAUUCUGACGGCAACGUCAGAACUAGAUAGAUGACCAUUCAAGACAUAACCCGGCUUAUCGGCAGACUUGUGUU